rnacentral:rRNA from 1 species
GAUCAUGGGCUCAGAUUGAACGCUGGCGGCAGGCCUAACACAUGCAAGUCGAACGGUAACAGGAAGCAGCUUGCUGCUUUGCUGACGAGUGGCGGACGGGUGAGUAAUGUCUGGGAAACUGCCUGAUGGAGGGGGAUAACUACUGGAAACGGUAGCUAAUACCGCAUAACGUCGCAAGACCAAAGAGGGGGGACCUUCGGGCCUCUUGCCAUCGGAUGUGCCCAGAUGGGAUUAG